CGGGAUGUAGCGCAGUCUGGCUAGCGCACUUGAAUGGGGUUCAAGGGGCCGGAGGUUCAAAUCCUCUCAUCCCGACCA
rnacentral:tRNA from 1 species